rnacentral:rRNA from 1 species
UCUUGCGCAAUGGGCGAAAGCCUGACGCAGCAACGCCGCGUGGAGGAUGAAGGCCCUUGGGUUGUAAACUCCUGUCGGCUGGGAAGAACUCGUUCGCGACUAAUACUCGCGGACGUUGACUGUACCAGCAAAGGAAGCCCCGGCCAACUACGUGCCAGCAGCCGCGGUAAGACGUAGGGGGCAAGCGUUGUCCGGAUUUAUUGGGCGUAAAGAGCUCGUAGGCGGCUCAGAAAGUCGGGUGUGAAACCUCCAGGCUCAACCUGGAGACGCCACCUGAUACUGCUGUGGCUAGAGUCCGGUAGGGGAACACGGAAUUCCCGGUGUAGCGGUGAAAUGCUUAGAUAUCGGGAGGAACACCAGUGGCGAAGGCGGUGUUCUGGGCCGGAACUGACGCUGAGGAGCGAAAGCGUGGGUAGCAAAC